ACCUCUACAUGGAGGUAUUAUUCAUAAGAUAAGUGGGUUUUUUGAAGUUAUGUUCCGUUUUAUAACUUGUUGUUAUUAAUAUAAAAUAUUUGGCGGUAUCUCACACAGCACUGUACUAGGUGCGUAAUUUUUUUUAUCAUGAAAAAGUUUUUUUCUAUAAUCAAUUUUUUGUUUUUUUUUGUAUAAUAAAUGAACUUAGCUGGUACUUCUAACAUUUCGGUUAAUAACCCAAACUUUUAAAAAAUAAUAUUAGAACUUUAUUCUGAUGAUAAUUCUGAGAAAUUAAUCUUGAGUCCGAACAGAAUCUGAACAGAAAGAUAAUGAUAUAACCGAAAGUGAUGAUGAAGAGUCUGAUAGUUCUGGUCAUGAUAAUGAUGAAUCUACAAGAGUUUCUAAAAAUUUUUAAUGAAAAAAUAAGUAUAAAUGGUCAGCAAAUGAAUUUGUAUGUAAAAUAUUAGGAACUGCUCGUCAUAAUAUUAUUACUCAAAUUCCCGUAUUACGUGAUCCUGUAAAAAACUUAGGUGAUAUUGCAAAUCCUAUGGAUAUUUGGAAUAUGUUUUUUACAUGUUCUAUUUUAAUUGAAAUUUUGAUUUGGACCCAUUUAAAACUUGAUAGUGUUCAUCAGUAAUAUAAAGAACAAUUAAGUUUUACAAAAAUUAUAGACGAAAUUACGCUACGUCACUUUUUGGCUUAUUAUUUUAAUCAGCUGUUUUUAAGUCAAAUUAUGAAUGCGCAAAACUCUUGAAAAAAAAAAAAAACAAAAAACAAAAUUAUCACUGAUGGGACUGGACGCGAAAUAUUUCGUUUAGUUAUGUGUCAAAAAAGGUUUUUAUUUUUAAUUAACUGUUUAUAUAUUAAUAAUCCGGAUACUAGAGAUCAAAGAAAAGAAAAUAAUCUUACCGCUGUUAUUUUCGAAAUUUUUAGUUCAUAAAUAAUUGUAAAAAAAAUUAUUCGUUAAGUUCAUGUGCUAUAAUAGAUGAAAUACCUGUUAGUUUUCGUGGGAGGUGCAAAUUUAAAAAAAGGAAAACG